GGGGGGUUUGCUGUGGGGUGCUGCUUGGUUGUGGUCCAGCCGUUCCUCUCCCAUACUUCCCAUUUCUCCCUGCUGAGACACUUCAGACCCAAACCAUCCUAAGCAACCUCCAAACACCAGUGAUAAAUACCUUCCCCCAUCGUUACGGCUCCAUCCCAUCGCGGUGCUGAUGGCAAUAAUGGUGCUCCUAACCCCAGCACGUCCUCUUAACGUGGGUCGUUCUCCGAAGUCGCUCGAUGCCUCCUGACAGUGCGGCCGGGUGCACCGCGGACAUCGCUUAACCCCGGAAUGUGAGCCCGUGGCUCUGCUGUGCUGUGGCUCCAGGAGCUGCUCGCCGAUUUCUUAAUCCCAACGCCCUCGGCGUGUGAGGGGUGAGGCAGGCAGCGUGGAAGCACUGCCCAAAGACCUGCAAGGCUGACAGAGCCUUCUCCCUGCAGAUGCCCUCGGUUACUGCCUGUGACAGCACCCCGCCGGCUUUUCUUCCCUCUGCCAAAGCCCAGUGGCUACCAGCGGGGUCUGCUCAGAUCUUCCCCUUCGAGAUCUUCCCUUUUGGCAUCAUAAAUCUGCUCCGUAGUGAAGGAU